UUGGAUUGGAAAUAUGUUCCUUAUCGGCUCGUUCAAUAUUGAAGCAAGAUUAAUCUCAACUUCAGCUGGUUUGCUACGUAAUUUACCAUACGCUGCAGCGUAGGAAGUUUGAGACACUU